GGUGCUGAACCGGUUCGUGCGCCAUUACGAGCCGCUGUCUUACGAACCCGUCGGCGUGCGCGGCUUGGGACGCUGGAAGCGAUCGGCCACCGCUCAUCGACACGACAGCAGCAGGCCACGCACGGUACAGGUCGCCUUCAAGGCCCACGGCAGAGAGUUCCGGCUGCAGUUGACUCAGGACCGGUCUGUCUUCUCCGAGGACUUCGCUCUGGUGACGAGCAGAGGGCGCGUCCAGGCCAACCUCGACCACAUCUACUCCGGACACGUUGCAGGCGCCCCCGGCAGCCGCGUGGUGGGCUCCCUGGUGGACGGCGUGUUCAGCGGACGCAUCUCGCUGGCGCCCGGUGACGACGACGGAGACUUCUACGUGGAGCGCGCUCACACGUCCUCGGCCACGUCCCCCCUCUUUCACUCGCUCAUCUACGCCGCCAAGGACGUGAGCUUCGACGGCGCCGGAUGUGGAGUGCACGGACCCGCGCGGAACGCUCCCAUCGACACUGGACGCCGACACGGGCGCCAGCCG
rnacentral:lncRNA from 1 species